rnacentral:lncRNA from 1 species
CCACCCUUUCUUUGAACCUUGUCAAUGAUCGAACUUAAAGAUAUGAACUGAGUGCCAUUUGAUGAGUAACUGAGAACAAAGGAGAGGGAUAUGGAAAGAAUGAAGUAAUGAAAGAGGAAGUCAUUGCUAGUAGUAACGACUUGUCACGAUCCAUUGGUUCAUAUAGAAUCCAUGUCCUAGGUGUAUCAAAAAACAUUCUUUUCGCUAAGCGUAUAUAAUAAAAUAGAGUGAAAAGGUCCACCCCGAAACCAAGGGGGUACUAACUAACAGCUGAGUCCUCUCCGAACCGCAGGAGAUAGUUGCCCAUCAUACGGCUCACCAACUUCACUUGCCUCUAUGGGAGGCUCGCUCCGGGCAGGUUCGGAUCACUUACAAUACACGGGCUCUACGAAGGAAGGGGUUGGGUUAGGAGCGUUUUCAAUAUGAUUCUUUUCCUGUAUUUGUUCGAUGAGAAAUGCGAGUCUCUUUUGUCCACUUUCUUCAUCCCCCUCUAUCAAAAUGAUCAAAAAGGAAGGCGAGCUUGCUUCUUAUUCCCGUGUUUGAUCUCUUCCAUCUCUGCCUGGCUCGUUGUCACCUAUGUUGAAGAAAGGUUUGGAACCCUGUAGAGAAUGAAGAGGGGCCAAGGAUCUUCCUCUCAACAGUGCUUUUCGAGGCUCCACUCUCCCCCCUGAAUAAGUAAGGCCCCGUUAAGCCUGGGCGAAGAUGGGGAUAAAGAGUAAGGAUUGAAGCCCCCUUAGCUCUGCCAGGCACUGGACAGGGGUUAGCUCUGUAAAUGUGUAGAGCCAAGUGUAGUGUGGUGUAGUAGUAGGCACUUCUAGGCCCCUUCCCGGCUACUGGAUCACUCCAGUGCUUCGGGUACUACGGACCCUCUGCCAUCCAUUGCAGCAGAGCCGUUUCAUGGGCGGGGGGGCUAAGCGCAGUUCUUUGAAUCAAAGGUUGAAUGAAAUCGAUUCUUUUUUAGAUAACAAAAUCGAAAUCGGAUAGGAUAGAUGGAUGGAUCUAUCUUUCUAUUCAUAUAUAUUACUAAGAAAAAUGGAUUUCUAUAGUGUUGUAGCGUAGCAAGAAGCCCCAAAUCCUUGAUUUGGCCAGGAAAGACUGCACUGCUUUGGGCCCAGGAAGCGAAGGGAAUGAGCUCGGCUGCUUCUCCUCCACACUUCUUUUUCUCCGUGCCCGUUCCGCAUGCGCUUCGCGCGCCAUUGGCGCUUUGCUCUCCUCUUAUUCUUCAUUGGACGGUUCGGAUGGACUUCGCCGUUCUUUCCCAACUAAAAUCGAAAGGGCUGUAUCACAUCGAGAUGUCGAUUCGUUUUCCGCCCCCAAUGAGAUGGGGAAUUUUUCACCCCCUAUUUAGACUUUUGGGCCCUUCAUCUUUCUGAAUCGAGACCCGGCCCGGCUCGCGUCGUUCCAACAACCGGCGGGGAGCACCUCAGUAUACGAUCGCGCGCAGUAACUGGGAGUCCUAUUACACCUAAGGCCAACUUCAAUUCACCAAACCAAGGUUCAUCUCGUGUAGUCAUUGUGGACUCGUACAAGGAUAUUGAGUAGACGGUUGAUGUAUCAGACUCGACCCUAUCUUUCGUAGCAUGCAUUCCCAUCCGUGUCGCAACUGAUUCGGUAAGCUACGUGUCCGGUGCACGGAGAACUGCCUUCGGUCCCCCAAACUUACUUACUCGUGGCAACCUUCCGGCCGCCCAACGACCUAUAACGCUAGUCACUACUCCCACUGGGGCUAGGAAGUAAGCCCCACAACCCAAAGCGGCGAAGAACAAAUAGAAUUUGCUACAAAAGCCGGCUAACGGGGGUAUUCCUGCGUAUGAGAACAUAGUAAUGGAGAAGGUAAUAGCCAAAAUAGGAUUCGUUUUGGCUAGAGCGCCCAAAUCAGCUAUAUAUUUGACACGGGUUUGCCGUAAUGCUAAAACUAUGGCGAAUGCAUCUAUCGUCAUUGAUGCAUAAAUAAAGAUACCAAUUAGUAGUGAUUGAAUUCCUUCUAUGGUUCCACAUGAGAAACCAGUACGAAUAUAACCUACAUGUCCAAUUGAACUAUGAGCUAGAAGUCUUUUUACUUUCGUUUGGGCCAUGGCGGCCAGUGCUCCUAAGAUCAUAGAAGCAAUGCUGCAGAAAAAGAAGAUUUGUUGCAAUGUAGCUCCAUAAGAACCAUAAAUAGAAACACGUGAAAUAUUAGCAGAAAUAGAGAUUUUAGGCGCAAUAGAAAGGAAUGCUGUAACCGGGGUGGGUGAACCCUCAUAGAUAUCAGGUGCCCACAUAUAUAGAGUCAAAAGAUAUAUGGAGUCCGAAGGGUAGGGGGUUUUCUUCGGGGCUCGAGAGAUGGAAUAGAUAGGGCCCCACAAGUUUGAAAUUCGCCGCUGGGGAAUUCACACGAAAGGGAACGAGGAAUUCUCAACGAAAAAAGUGCUCUCUGAACCGAACGUGAAAGUAGUUUUCCAUCAGACGGCUUUUCCUGUAACUCUACUCUCGACUUGGAUUAUAUAUCCAAAAAGGUCCGCUCUCGGCCAUUCCACACGCUGCCUAGCAGAGACGUGGUUAUCUGAAGUGGAUUCUCUCUUUUGUAGUAGAUGCCGAACCUGCUGUGCCCCAUUGACUAAGAAGGGGGCGGACACAGCAGCUACAUGGACCCCUUCCUUUCAGUUGUUGCCAGCGCUUUCCCGGGCCGAGCCGGAAUUUUUUAUUAGAAAGGGCAGGCAAAGCCCGAAGGCUGCUAUCCCAAUAGGAAGGGCGGAACGAGGAGAGGGGCGUUCAGCCACUUGACUGUAAGGAGAGGGCCCGGCAAUCAUACCACGGCGGUCAAAAAAGCGUGUUCCCUUCAGAUAAGACGCACCGUAGGCCAUCCUCGGCCUUCUUCGUUUUCGAUGAAAAAAAAAUCUCGAUCUCCGAAAGCGUUUUCCUUCCCCCGCCGCACCUCCCUCCCUUCGUCGAGCCUUUACUUUAAUGGUUGGGGAAAGCAUUCCCUUAUCUGAACUUGGUGGGCAUUCUUUCCAGCCUUAGUAAAAUAGGGGGUGGGUUUGGCUUGAACAUAGGCUCAAACAGAAUUUGAAGGGUCCUAGCUACGCCAUGCGUUCAAUACAAAAUCUGGAAAGCUGCAGGGAUGACAAAAAGAGGGCGCUUUCCUGUGUUGCACCGAAAAAAAGGACCUAAGAGACGAGCGUCUUCUCUUAGGUUUCUUCCUCCCGCGCCCGUCGCCGCCCGGCCCGCGUUAGAGGGGAAGAUUAGCAAAGCGGGAAAAGAAAGAGGGAAGGGGAGCAGCAUCUUAUUCUCUUCGCGAGAACUUCCGGAUCGUAGAAGCAUUCGGAACGGGCUCCGCGUUCAUUUCGUUGGCAGAAACGAUCCAUUCCAUUCGGGGCUUCGGGGAACCAAAAAAUUGGACUUGAGAAUCAAGGAUAGAUAGACAAGAGAUAGAUAAACGAUAUAUAUAUAUUUCUCACAAAAAAAUUGUGAGAUAAAGAGCAGAUGGAUCCUAUCCCCUAUAUCGAACACUCAUUCCUAUCUAUUGAUAGAAAGAUCUUCGUCAAAUACCGGACUUUGCCUUUUUUUAGGAAUUACUCAUAUCCAAAGCAGCUUUUCACAAGCACCCCACCCCAUACAACUAGUUGGGGGGGCUGUUCGCCUUUUGAAUCAAACAAAGUAAGUAGUAGGGGCGUUCAGCCACUUGACUGUAAGGAGAGGGGCUUCAUAGCAACUUUCAUUCUAAAGGAAAGCGAAGAACCAACCUUUAGUCAAUAGGAGCCCUACUUCCCUCUUUCCGACCUCAUCACUUCAAUUCAAGGGCAAACCCAUUUCCUAGUCACCGGGCUGAGCGCACCUUUGGUACUUCAAUAGGGCGAGCAGUUUGAUAGUGACUUCUUUCGUUUGGUAGGGCGACGAAAGGCUACUUCAAUGACGGAAACAGCCGGAAACUCGAGAGGGUCGCCUUUGGAGAAGCGUUUGCCGGUAACCAAAGCCUCACUCUGAUUAUGUCGUGAGGCUGACGGAAUCCAAUCCAUAAACCCGGAAAUGAAACGUUGUUCGUUCCCUUUCGUCAAGUAGGUAAAGUAGGCAUACGAACCACUUUGCCUUAGACUCUAUUGGAACAAAGCAAAGAAGGAGGCGGAAUGGAGAAAGGAAAGGGACAAGGGCGGUCUUGCUUGGCGCGAAGGCUGCUGGUUCGGGGGUAGAGUACAGUACUAAAGGUCCUCGGACUUCCAGGCGGUUUUUCUUUUGGGCAGCUGUUCACCGUUGGAUCUCGCCAAUACAGCCCCCUAUAGUUUUCGUUACCGAGAUAUCUUUUUUUUUUCAUUGUUCCCAGGGAUUUUUUGGGGAAUCUGCUCCCAUGCUGCAAACAGUCAAAUCUGAACUGAACCCUGUCGCUCUUCUUUCUUUCCUCGCGAGCAGGAAGCACACCAGCAGCGUGCGUUGCGUGAUUCUACUGUGUUUUUUGCACUUGACUGGGUGGACAGUUGACCGGAAGAUAACUUCGAUUCGCCCGGCCAGCAGGCGGGCGGCGUGCUUAUCUUGUGUGACAACACUACAGAGCGAGUUGCUCUUCUAGGCGGGCAGCUGUGUGACAACACUACAGAGAAAGCGGCGCUUUCGUGUAACAUGCUAUGGUCUCAACGCCCUUACGAGGUAGUGAUGAGUUUCACGCGCUCUAAGCCCGGCCCGCGCGCGGUUAGGAAGAUUGGCCGCAGAGCGGUACCACCCACCCUACCCUACCACCUAUAGGCGGCCGUCCUACAGCCGCCCGAAAAGGAACUGCAGUGAUCUUGAAUAGGGAUCCUACAGCGAUAAAUAGAAUCCCCAUAAAAAUACCACUAGAUCGAGCACCAGUGAUUUCGUAUCCGGUCAAAAUCUUGGCUAAUUGAUCGAAGUGGGUAGCUCCAGUAGACCCAUAGAUCAUGGAACAAAUAGGGUGGGUAGGCCUAAGCACCACACUACACGUAUAGACGCGAACCCCCCUCGUUACCGUACGUGCGACUCUCACCGCAUACGGCUCGCACAAAGACUCCAAAAUCCAUCCCGAGCCCUUUCUUCCACCUCUCCUCUCCAAUCCUCGAUCAAACUUGCGUUCCCCAGGCGCUAUGAAAUGGGGGUCUUUCCUUCGCCUAUCGUAUGUAUCGGCUUGGCUUCGUCCCGAACCAAGGAGGCAUUCUGGCGGACGCAUGCGUGUAGGAAGGCCGACGACUACAUAAGCUAAAAGACUACGACUACAAGACAGGCCGGAAGCGACUCGCUCCUAUUCUCGUUGGGAUUGGAUAUAGAUGGGAAAUCUAUAGAUCGUAGUAGUUCGCCAACCUCUCUAACUAACAUACGAUACAAUUUCACUUCACGGCACGGCCAAAAAAAAGAAAGAGCUUCGCUCGGUUGGCCUUCCUACGCUGACGAAUGCCUCUUUUCUCUUCUCUGAAGUCUACAACAAACAAGUGGGAGAGGCAGGAUUCGAACCUACGUAGAAAAACUUCAACAGAUUUACAGUCUGCCGCUUUUGACCACUCGGCCACUCUCCCCUUCCCGGGCCGAGGCCCCCCUCAAUGGGUUCUAAUUCUAAGAAGGGGGGCGGCGCCCUGAAUCAAUCAAAAAGCUUAUUGAUUUAAUUGAAGGGAACUAAGACGAUUAGCUUAGCUAGCGUUCCGGGAGAAUCUAGUCAUUUAAGAACUUCGUUGCCACUAGUAAAUUAGACCAUCCCCCCCAAAAAGAACUCGGAGCCUAAAGAGAAGAGAGUUCAGUCUACAAGAAGCUGGCAGAGCUUUAGCCAUUGGGCCACAUCCAUCUAUCCUAAACAGUAACCCCUUUCUUGUUCGUUCUUCGAAUGACGCUAGUGGAGACUAAUUCCUUCCGGCUAAUGAAGAUACUACUCCAGUCUUUCCAGUGGAUCCUUCCCUAAGAAUGGAACGAACCAAGUUAACCUAUACGAGAGUGAGGAAUAAAAACCAACAAUCAACUUACCGCUUUUGAUGUCCCACGAUUCUGCUAGUUUAGAAAGAAAGGAGAAGGACACCACCGGAGGCAAGCGCUAGGUCAGAAAGGCGAUAACUAAAAAAUCUCCCCAAGUAGGAUUCGAACCUACGACCAAUCGGUUAACAGCCGACCGCUCUACCACUGAGCUACUGAGGAACAACGGACUUAAUGUUGGAAGCCGACUCUCGUUCUUUGGACCAACCUAUGACCGAAGAAAAAUGAGUUCGUCACUCUUUUUCACAUACACCGGGAGAAAGGGUUACGCUAGCAAGCCCCUCCCUGGCCGGAGAGCCCCCAGGACAAGGAGGCGGCGAUCAACCAUCCACUCUCGAGAUUCAUAUUGAUCAAUAGAUCUCCGCGUCCUGCCAGUUCGCUAAGUAGACUCACUCUACCGAGGGGCAACAAAGGCUGGAACUCUUCCUGCCAAAAACAAGGGACCUACUUCUCAUCCUAGGAGUUAGCAGGUAUGAAAGAGUCCCCUCUCUGUCUGUCUCUCCGAGUUUCUACUACUAAGUAGCACUUCUGCUAUUCAAUCAUAGAAUCGAUUCCGAUCAAGCUGAAAAAAGUAAGCCCUAUAUAUGUUUGUUAUUAGUAAAGCGCUAAGGCCCUAUCUAUAGUAAGGGGCCCUUUCUUGCUCGUUAGCGCUGUUUUUUGAUUGCAGCUAGGGCGCCCCUUUUCUUUCUCAAAGUCAACUUUCUCCCUUCUUAGUCAAGCUUUGAAGUCCCUACUUUAUUUAGAUUUAUGGGAUAUUUGAAGAAGCGCAGGUUUGGAACCCUAUACCUAUACAAGGGGCUGGUCUCGAUCUCGCUUGGUGGUACCCCUCUCGAUGAUUGUUGACUCAACAUUGAUUUCGUGCUUGAGUUGGAGGGCUCUCCCUCCAUCCAUCGAGUCAAGUAAUUCGCUAUCGGAAAUUUCUCCGCCGCCUAUCUCAUGCCAUGCUUCUUCUUUCUCCGAAUCGGUUCCUAGUGUCAGUCAAUCAAGAUUCGCCAUCAAGAGAGGGAAGAGCCUUGACUUUAGGUUAGGCCGGUCUCAUCAUUCACGCAAUUCCCCCGUCCAUCGAUUGAUCACGCGAGUACGCAUCCAGUCAGCGCAUAGCGAAUGAAAAAAGCGUUCAUCCUGGAUUCUCUUCCUCAAGAAAAAUGUCUAUCAAUUGAUCCCUACGGUCAAAGUCUCCACUUUUCACGCCCCUCUACUAAGAGAUGCACCAUGUUGAUAGGAAUCGGCAAAGACCUUCUUGUACACGUCCUCGAGGGCAGCAUUCAUGGCAAUCAUCACUACUUUCUCCCGAGGGCAUGGUAUGGCUUUGUUCUUGGUCUUGUUUAAUAGAUGUCGAGUGCCGCUUUUCCCCGUCCGAGAAUCUCCAUCUGCUCUAAGUGGGCGCGAGCUAGAAUCCUUAUGUCAGCUUGGUUGUUCAAAAGACUGUCUCUUUACCCCUUGCAUCUUCAUCUUUUCGAAAGCCCAGACCAUUCUUCUGGAUCUGCAUUAGUCCUAUUUCAGGUGCAAAGCCUCUUCAAUAAAGACCUCUUUUUUUGAUUUCUCCCCCAUUUCUCAUUUUGUUGAUUGAAAGAGAAUAAGCGCUAUCCAUUGAGUAAAGAGAGGGUUUGCUACAGUGAUUCGGGCGGUUGGUGGCCCCUUCGAGAGUUGCGGGUCCUUGCCGCUGCAUGAGUGUUAGCUCACGCUCAAAACUCCUCCGACACGAGUCCUAGUCGUUGCGCUGCGGUCCGUUUCCCGGCUUCGCUUGCGCGAUUUGCACUUCUGAUUGGUUCCAGCCAUCCCCAACCUUAAUGAAUGGACUAUGAAGGGGUCAGUCAAGCGGUUCGGGUUUUCGGUCGGUUCCCGUUCGCCUUCCCCCCCCUCAUAGUCCAUUAGUGGGUAGGGUGGUCAACUUAGAGGGCGCCCGCCUCCUCUUCAGACGUGUCCUCGACAACCUGGCGGUUCUUCGGUCUCCGCUUUUGGGGGCGGGAGUGCUUGGUCGCUGGGGGUUCCUUUUCCUCAACCAAUUCGGUUGUGUCAGCCUUGGUCUAACAUUUUGUUAUGAGCUGGCUGGACAAAGAUGGAUUGAAGGUCAGAUAGAUUUGAGUUCAAGUGGCACAGCACCUUCGAUCGACCAUAGGGCCUAUUCUACCCUUACCGAAUUCAUUCUAUUGAAGCGUAACGUAAAAAGCUCCUUCUCAUCUUGCAUUUCUUUGGUUUGGAAGUUCCAGAAUCUUGUCUGUGGAUUUCUAUAACAAAGGAAAGCCUCCUACCCUAAUACUAUGCCAUUUGAUUGAAACAAGUUCCGUGCUGCUCACCACUCCUCGAGGCCAAGGACGGGGUCGAACCGUCAUUCCAGGAUUUGCAGUCCGAUACAUUUCCAUUAUGUUACCUAGCCAAACCCGCCACCUCAUGUGCCAAAGUAAAACGGUUGUUCUUCCUUCUCCGCUCCUUCUUUUUCUACAUAUGCGGCGGCGGGUUACCAGAGAAGGGGGGACAACUCCUUUCUCCUUUGCCUUGCUCAAUCUUCCUUUUCUGAUUGAAAGUAGCAAGCCACUCUACUAUUGGUACAGAGGCCAGAUAGAAGGUUGCUCAUCCAGCCCAGCGGAUCCAUUGUUUAUGCGGCAGUGCAAUGCAGCUGAAAAAGGGAAGCCCCUUUUUAUUAGUAAGGUAUAGGUUGGUUGGGGAAAACUCCAAAACUAGGGUUCCAAAAAGCUUACCUUAUAUUAUAGAAAAGUUUGAGAAAGGGGCACCCCUACUAUACCCCUAAACUACAAGCUAGCGCGCAACGGCGGAAAAGCCGUUGUUGCUUGCUGCUUGCAGGCUCGAAAAUCUCUCUUUCGCCUCUCCUCCCUGUCUCAAUUCUGAUUGAUUAGCUUCUUCCUUCGCGCAAGCUACGGUCUAACGACCCCCUUGUUGUGUUGCAUUUUGUGAUCUUCCGCUUCAGUCUGCGUUUUUCGGAUAGCCGGGACCCGAUGUUGAUUCCCGAUUUAAAUGUCAGCUCCAGGUUUGGGGCGGCCCAUCUGAUUAGUUCAGCUAUCACUGCUGGAAACCCCAGCGGUUGUUCGGCUGCGUACUCCCCGUCUGCCUAUCUCACACUCCCAAAGCAAAUUUGGAUUUCUUCUUUCAUUUUCCUUUCCUGCAUCUUUCUUUCUAUCCAUAGGUCGGCUUCGCGCAGAUAGAUCUUUGCCGGGGGAGAUUGGUGCCCCUUGAGGUAUGCCCUUCCGGUGGGUUGUUCCUUUAUCUGUCUUUUCCAUCCAGUGCCCGCACUGCGUCAGAAAAUCUUCGUCUUCGAUCUCUCUUCGCAACGCAUUUUAAGGGCUAAGACUUUCUCUCGACAUCUUUCUUUUAUUUAAGUCAUUGAUCUCAUAUCUAUAAGCAGGGGGGUCUGCGUUCACUAUUAAGCCUACGCCCGUCCAUUCCUUUCAAGCUUGAUCCUUCCCUUAGACUCGUUACCUUGUUCGACUGAACUCGUUGGUUCCGCGUUGGUCGUAACCCGGUUCGAGAACCUUCUCUCAUAGAUUCCCUUCACCAAGUCAUCGCCAGCAAUCAGCUCUUAUCCCUUGGUGUCAAAGGGCGAGUUCCUUUCUUGUCUUGCCCAAAAACUUUCUUUAUUCUCAUUGGAGAAAGACUCUCCCGCGGCAAGGUUUUACACAUAGGGCCAGCUGCUUUCUUUAUCUCGCUUGCCCUUAGUCCGUCUAGCGCCUUUCGGUUGGGGUCCGCCCUGGGGGUUAGGUUAGACCGCUUGGGUUUUUUUUCGUCUAUCGAAGGCAGUCAACGUGUCAGCCAUUCUUCCCCCAUUAGACUUGUCAAUCCUUUGCUCUUUUUCCUUCUCUCUUCCAGUUCUCCCCCUCUACUUUAUUUGACAGGGGCGGAGAAUACCACUCUAUCAAUAACAAGAAAAAAGUAGCAAUUCCGUUUCAAAUGGUUUGAGCUUGGAAGCAACCUGCUAUCUAUCGAUAGGCGAGAACAGACUGCUAUUGACUGCUUCGCCUAUCUAUUCUAUUAUGGCCGGCUUGGAGACAUCAGAGGAAGACCACCAUCUCUAUCCGGAUCAUAGCUUCAUUCAUUCGUUGAACCU